CCUACGGGAGGCAGCAGUGGGGGAUAUUGCACAAUGGGGGGAACCCUGAUGCAGCGACGCCGCGUGGGUGAAGAAGCGCCUCGGCGCGUAAAGCCCUGUCAGCAGGGAAGAAAAUGACGGUACCUGAAGAAGAAGCCCCGGCUAACUACGUGCCAGCAGCCGCGGUAAUACGUAGGGGGCAAGCGUUAUCCGGAUUUACUGGGUGUAAAGGGGGCGCAGACGGCGAUGCAAGCCAGGAGGGAAAGCCCGGGGGCCAACCCCGGGACUGCUCUUGGAACUGGGUGGCUGGAGUGCAGGAGGGGCAGGCGGAAUUCCUGGUGUAGCGGUGAAAUGCGUAGAUAUCAGGAGGAACCCCGGUGGCGAAGGCGGCCUGCUGGACUGCAACUGACGUUGAGGCCCGAAAGCGUGGGGAGCAAACAGGAUUAGAUACCCCUGUAGUC
rnacentral:rRNA from 1 species